rnacentral:tRNA from 1 species
GCGCCCGUAGCUCAAUUGGAUAGAGCGCUUGACUACGGAUCAAGAGGUUGCAGGUUCAACUCCUGCCGGGCGCA